UACGGAGGGGACUAGCGUUGUUCGGAAUUACUGGGCGUAAAGAGUUCGUAGGCGGACUGACAAGUAAGAGGUGAAAUCCCAGGGCUCAACCCUGGAACUGCCUUUUAAACUGUUAGUCUAGAGACCGGAAGAGGUUAGGGGAAUACCUAGUGUAGAGGUGAAAUUCGUAGAUAUUAGGUGGAACACCAGUGGCGAAGGCG
rnacentral:rRNA from 1 species